CGAGAUCUGAUGGUUUUAUAAGGGACUCUUCCCCCUUUGUGCGCCCUCUCUCUUUCCUGCUUCCUUGUGAAGAAGGUUCUUGCUUCUCCUUCUGCUUCUGCCAAAGUAUGACCUUAUGAUUGUAAGUUUCCCGAGGCCUCCCCAGUCAUGUGGAACUGUGAGUCAAUGAAACCUCUUUCUUUUAUAAAUGACCCAGUCUCAGGUAUUUCUUUAUAGCAGUGUGAAAAUGGACUAACACGGAUAUUUGGCAGGCAUCCAGUAGUCUUCGAUAAACACAACCACCAUCUAGUAGCCAGAACAGCUUUAUCAGGCCCCACUGUCUCUGCAAUGAAGAGCAGUUCCUUUCCUCAUCCCUUAUAGGCCAAACACCCAGCAUCCUGGGACAGUGGCCCCAUGUGCCCAGCUUUGAGGAUGAGCUCAUGCCUGGCUGCUCUGGUUGGAGAGAGGGAAGAGCUGAAUCAAGAUCCAUAUAUAUAAAUCUCCUUUUGUGCAUUUAGAAUCAUGUCCUUAAAUUCCAAUCAGUGGCAUUACUGAAGCAAACUGUAUCAAAAAUGCAAAAAAGACCCAUUUUUCCAAAUUGUUUUCUAAUAAGAAAGUAAUAUUGUUUGCCUUUUGAUACUGUUCUUUAGAAAAUGAUGCAUAAGAGUUUUGCAUUUCAUAUAGUAUGUUCUAUUUAUUUUAUAUUUUGUAAUUUCUGUAAUUUUUAAGCACUGUUCUUCCCAUACUAGAGGCUCUGCUCUAUUUAGUUCUGUUUGUCCUAGUUUUCCUAAAAUUCCCUUUUCCACUGGUGUGUGGUGCAAGAUGAGGCACAUUUUCCAUGGAUGGUGCACAGAGGGAGGAGCCCUUUGAUCACAACCAGGUCACCCCACUUCUAAGCCACUGCGUCUCCAGCCCCACAAGACUGAGGAGAGAGAACACAGAGUGGUGAAGAGUGAGCCAUGCUGGGACCGUUGCUUCUGUAACCUCGUUUUCUGUGUCCAGCUGACACACCUUCAAAGCGGCGUCAGGUCCUAAACUGUAGCUUGCUACGUGCCUGUUUGCCAGCAACCAAGGUGAAAGUGCUUUUAGACAGUGUUUCCGUGCAAGAGUCUCUUCCCAGCUUUUCUCUGGAAAUGCAUGUUUCUCCGAACUCUGAGUCCUAAGAAAAAUCAUUUGAGACAUCAAGAAAAUGGGGGAAGUGCUAAAAUUGUGUGGGAAUUCAAGCUUAACAAUAAACAUCAAGACAUUUUUGGUAAAAAUGAAUCCACUGACAUCAGGGAGGAGCAAGAGAACAACACGCUGAUAGUGGGUCAGAGGCUAAGGCCGACAUUUCUGGGAACCACUCCCGGAAGGGCACAGAUGAGACGCUUAGAGCCUCUCAUCAGCCAGCCUGGCCUGUAACUGCUGAGUGUUAUGAGUGUGUUCCUGGCAUGACUGCUUCUAACAAAGAAAUGCUGAUGCAGUGUCAUGCUUGUCUCUGCCCUCCUUAGAGAACGCCUGAACAGUUCCAUUGACUCAAAGUGAAGAUCAAAAGAACCAAAUGACAGCAAUAGCUAAGUGUAAUCAUCAGUAACCCUGUGUUCUAUCCACGGGUAAAAAACAAUCAUCCUCUUCAUUAUGGGUUUUAAUUUAAAAUAUAAUACAUUUUUAGAAAGUGUCUAUUUCCUUUUAGAAUCUCUUUAUAUAAUCUAGGGUAUUCUGACUCUUAGAUCUUCAUUUAACUACUGAAAAGAUUUGAUCUCAAAUCAAUGAUCUAACCACCCCUGCCCACCUCCCUCCCCAUACACCCCCCAGCAUGACUUCUGGGAACUCAGGUAAAAUGCUUUCUGGAAACCUGCCUGUAUUAGUCUGUUGUCACACUGCUAAUAAACACAUACCCGAAACUGAGUAAUUUAUAAAGGAAAGAGGUUUCCUUUAUAGUUCCACAUGGCUUGGGAGGUCUCACAAUCAUGGUGGAAGGCGAAUGAGAAGCAAAGUCACAUCUUACAUGGCAGCAGGGAAGAGAGAGUUUGUGUAGGGGAACACCCCUUUAAAAAACCAUCAGAUCUUGUGACACUCAUUCACUAUCACGAGAUCAGCACGGGAAAGACCUACCCCCAUGAUUCAAUUACCUCCCACGACGUGGGAUUUAUAGGAGCUACAAUUCACAAUGAGAUUUGGGUGGGGACACAGGCAAACCAUAUCACCGCCUAAAACCAACUCAAUAGUUGGAGGAAUUUGGGGAGAAUCUGGAGAGGAUUUAAUUAAUUUGGCAAAAGGAUUAGCAAUUGGAUCUAAGUGAGAAAAGAGAAUUCCUGGAGGAAGAAAAGAUGUUUAGUUACACUGAGAAAUUAAAACCUGAAGCAAUUGCCUUUGAGAUUUUUUUCAGGAAAUGAGUAUUGACUGCCUACUGUGUGCCAAAUUAUGUGUUUCAUGUUAAAGACUCCAAAGUAGAUAAGACAUAGGCCCAGCCGUGGGGAGCUCAUUGAGCCAUAGAGAAAGUUUGAAUGUUUCAGAGGAAUCAUCAAGAACAGGGGAUCAGCAAUCUAUUAUAUUUCAAUUGCCUCUUUUCAUGAUUGUAAAAGCAAUGCAUGCCUGCUGAAGAGAAUUUGGAAAAACAAGAAAUUAAAAAUCGUCUCUGAUCCUGCCACCAGAAAUAACCACUGUUAGCAAUCGUAUCACUUCUGUAGGUCUAUAUGGUUAUCAUAAUCAGCUCUAGCAUUGAUUACAUGCAUCUCAUGUA